UGACCCCACGGCGCUAGCCGGCCUGGUGGCCUCUCAGGCCUGGCCGCCAUACACCCACCCACCAACGGCCACCAAACCACCCCGGCGGCACAAUCUCUUCGGGUGUUCCAACGCGGCGCCCCCUA
ensembl:misc_RNA